rnacentral:rRNA from 1 species
UACGUAGGGGGCGAGCGUUGUCCGGAAUCAUUGGGCGUAAAGAGCGCGUAGGUGGCCCUGUAAGUCCGUUGUGAAAGUCAAAGGCUCAACCUUUGAAAGCCGAUGGAUACUGCAGGGCUAGAGUACGGAAGAGGCGAGUGGAAUUCCUGGUGUAGCGGUGGAAUGCGCAGAUAUCAGGAGGAACACCAAUAGCGAAGGCAGCUCGCUGGGACGUUACUGACACUGAGGCGCGAAAGCGUGGGGAGCGAACAGG